rfam:Gossypium arboreum cultivar AKA8401 contig_534_5, whole genome shotgun sequence.
UAUUAAAAAUUUUGUUUAUUUGUACUAUUAAAAACUAGCGUGAUUGACGGAAUAACUAGAAAGUGUCAGUUGUACCUUAUGCUGAUGUACAAUGACCAAUUUUUAACAGUAGAAUUGAAUGGAUAAAUUUUUAAUA